rnacentral:rRNA from 15 species
CGUAGUCGAUGGGAACCAGGUUAAUAUUCCUGGGCCAGCGGGUAGUGACGGAUUGCGGACGUUGUACACUCUUACUGGAUUGAGUGUGCAGCCAAGCCGUCCCUGGAAAUAGCUCCCGCAUGAGACCGUACCCCAAACCGACACAGGUGGACUGGUAGAGCAUACCAAGGCGCUUGAGAGAACUCUGUUGAAGGAACUCGGCAAAUUACUCCCGUAAGUUCGCGAGAAGGGAGCCUGGCAUUAGGCAACUGGUGUCCAGGGGCACAGACCAGGGGGUGGCGACUGUUUAUUAAAAACACAGGGCUCUGCGAA